UACGUAGGGUCCGAGCGUUGUCCGGAAUUAUUGGGCGUAAAGGGCUCGUAGGCGGUCCGUCACGUCGGGAGUGAAAACUCGGGGCUCAACCCCGAGCCUGCGGUGGAUACUGCCUCGCUUGAGUCCGGGAGGGGAGAGCGGAACUCCUAGUGUAGCGGUGAAAUGCGUAGAUAUCGUGGAGAACACCCGUGGCGAAGGCGGGCUUCUGGCUAAUAACUGACGCUGAGGUGCGAAAGCUAGGGGAGCGAACGGG
rnacentral:rRNA from 1 species